GGUGCCCUGCACAAACAUUGUAGCCAACAUACAACAGUAGUUUGCAGUCAAGUCAAACCACAAUGCAUCCGCCUAAUUAAACAUGCAUAUAAAAAAAAAGCAGGUGGAUGAUUGAAGCACUUGCUCACCAACCAAGAUUACCCGCAAAUAUGUAUCUCCUCCAUACUCUUGUAUGUUUCCUUUCCAGAAAACCAUGGCGCUCACAUCCCAUCUCGAGAAGAUGUGUUCCAUCUCCACCUCAUGAAACUCAACCCACCUAUAAUUCCGAGAUUGUAU
rnacentral:lncRNA from 1 species